UGAGUUCUUGGGGAAUUUGAGUGGGGACCCCUACAUUCUUCACACUAACGUGUUUAGCCAAGGCAAAGGAAACAGAGAGCAGCAAUUCUAUCUAUGGUUUGACCCAACUGCAGAUUUUCACACCUAUUCCAUUCUUUGGAAUCCCCAGCGCAUCAUGUAAGCAUCCCAAUAUCAAUCCAAACUACUUAAUUUAACUUUCUUUUUGUAGUUUUGCAUUCUGUGCUAAACAAACUUAUCCAACUCUGUUUCAGAUUCUCUGUCGAUGGCACCCCAAUUAGGGAAUUUAAGAACUUGGAGAGCAAUGGUGUUCCUUUCCCAAAGAAUCAACCAAUGAGGAUUUAUUCUAGCCUAUGGAAUGCUGAU
rnacentral:misc_RNA from 1 species